AACGAACGCUGGCGGCAGGCCUAACACAUGCAAGUCGAGCGAUCCUUCGGGAUAGCGGCGGACGGGUGAGUAACGCGUGGGAAUAUGCCCUUCACUACGGAAUAGCCCAGGGAAACUUGGAUUAAUACCGUAUACGCCCUUUGGGGGAAAGAUUUAUCGGUGAAGGAUUAGCCCGCGUUGGAUUAGGUAGUUGGUGGGGUAAUGGCCUACCAAGCCUACGAUCCAUAGCUGGUUUGAGAGGAUGAUCAGCCACACUGGGACUGAGACACGGCCCAGACUCCUACGGGAGGCAGCAGUGGGGAAUAUUAGACAAUGGGCGAAAGCCUGAUCCAGCAACGCCGCGUGAGGGAUGACGGCCUUCGGGUUGUAAACCUCUUUCAGCGACGAAGAUAAUGACGGUACCAGCAGAAGAAGCCCCGGCUAACUCCGUGCCAGCAGCCGC
rnacentral:rRNA from 1 species